rnacentral:piRNA from 1 species
UGGUUGACUUGAGGGAUGUCCUUGGG